rnacentral:ncRNA from 1 species
AUUGGCGGCAGUUCACCAGGUGCCGCAAGGUUAAAAGGGAAUCAGGUUAAAAUCCUGAGCGGUCCCGCCACUGUAAUCGGGGAUAAACUGUUAUGCCACUGGGAAACCGGGAAGGCGCAGCUAAAAUGAUCCGAGAGCCAGGAAACCUGCCUGUGAGUGAAGUACGAG